AGUGAACGCUGGCGGUAGGCCUAACACAUGCAAGUCGAACGGCAGCACAGUAAGAGCUUGCUCUUACGGGUGACGAGUGGCGGACGGGUGAGGAAUACAUCGGAAUCUACUUUUUCGUGGGGGAUAACGUAGGGAAACUUACGCUAAUACCGCAUACGACCUACGGGUUAAAGCAGGGGAUCUUCGGACCUUGCGCGAUUGAUUGAGCCGAUGUCGGAUUAGCUAGUUGGCGGGGUAAAGGCCCACCAAGGCGACGAUCCGUAGCUGGUCUGAGAGGAUGAUCAGCCACACUGGAAGUGAGACACGGUCCAGACUCCUACGGGGGGCAGCAGUGGGGAAUAUUAGACGAUGGACGAGAGCCUGAUCCAGCCAUACCGCGUGAGUGAAGAAGUCCUUAGGGUUGUAAAGCCAUUUUGUUGGGAAAGAAAAGCAGCAGGUUAAUCCCCCGCUGUUCUGACGGUACCAAAAGAAUAAGCACCGGCUAACUUCGUG
rnacentral:rRNA from 1 species